rnacentral:rRNA from 1 species
AUAAACUAUGCCUGCCAGCGAUCCGCCGAAGUUCCUCCGAUGACUCGGCGGGCAGCUUCCGGGAAACCAGAGCUUUUGGGUUCCGGGGGAAGUAUGGUUGCAAAGCUGAAACUUAAAGGAAUUGACGGAAGGGCACCACCAGGAGUGGAGCCUGCGGCUUAAUUUGACUCAACACGGGAAAACUCACCAGGCCCGGACACCGGAAGGAUUGACAGAUUGAGAGCUCUUUCUUGAUUCGGUGGGUGGUGGUGCAUGGCCGUUCUUAGUUGGUGGAGCGAUUUGUCUGGUUAAUUCCGAUAACGAACGAGACUCUAGCCUACUAACUAGGCGUACCCGGUAUCCACAAUCGUGCUACCGGCGAUCAAAUUUCUUCUUAGAGGGACAGGCGGCUUCUAGCCGCACGAGACUGAGCAAUAACAGGUCUGUGAUGCCCUUAGAUGUCCUGGGCCGCACGCGCGCUACACUGAAGGAAUCAGCGUGUCUUCCCUGUCCGAAAGGACCGGGUAACCCGCUGAACCUCCUUUGUGCUAGGGAUUGGGGCUUGCAAUUGUUCCCCAUGAACGAGGAAUUCCCAGUAAGCGCGAGUCAUAAGCUCGCGUUGAUUACGUCCCUGCCCUUUGUACACACCGCCCGUCGCUACUACCGAUUGAAUGAUUUAGUGAGGUCUUCGGACUGGUGCGCAGAGGCCGCUUCCGCGGUCUUUGAUGUUGCCGGAAAGAUGACCAAACUUGAUCAUUUAGAGGAAGUAAAAGUCGUAACAAGGUUU